rnacentral:rRNA from 1 species
GACAGAGGUGCCAAGCGUUAGGCGGAAUCACUGGGCUUAAAGCGUGUGUAGGCGGAUCGUUAAGUACCUUGUGAAAUCCCACGGCUCAACCGUGGAACUGCUGGGUAUACUGGCGAUCUUGAGCCACCUAGGGGCGAGCGGAACAAACGGUGGAGCGGUGAAAUGCGUAGAUAUCGUUUGGAACGCCAACGGUGAAACAGCUCGCUGGGGGUGUGCUGACGCUGAGACACGAAGCCAGGGGAGCGAACGGG